rnacentral:rRNA from 1 species
UACGGGGGGGGCAAGCGUUGUUCGGAAUUACUGGGCGUAAAGGGCUCGUAGGCGGCCAACUAAGUCAGACGUGAAAUCCCUCGGCUUAACCGGGGAACUGCGUCUGAUACUGGAUGGCUUGAGUUUGGGAGAGGGAUGCGGAAUUCCAGGUGUAGCGGUGAAAUGCGUAGAUAUCUGGAGGAACACCGGUGGCGAAGGCGGCAUCCUGGACCGGUACUGACGCUGAGGCGCGAAAGCUAGGGGAGCAAACGGG